UUUUAUGAGAGUUUGAUCCUGGCUCAGGACGAACGCUGGCGGCGUGCCUAAUACAUGCAAGUCGAACGCCUCUUUUUCCACCGGAGCUUGCUCCACCGGAAAAAGAGGAGUGGCGAACGGGUGAGUAACACGUGGGUAACCUGCCCAUCAGAAGGGGAUAACACUUGGAAACAGGUGCUAAUACCGUAUAACAAUCGAAACCGCAUGGUUUUGAUUUGAAAGGCGCUUUCGGGUGUC
rnacentral:rRNA from 1 species